UACGUAGGGUGCAAGCGUUUGUCCGGAAUUAUUGGGCGUAAAGAGCUCGUAGGCGGUCUGUCGCGUCGGAUGUGAAAAUCCAGGGCUCAACCCUGGACCUGCAUUCGAUACGGGCAGACUAGAGUUCGGUAGGGGAGACUGGAAUUCCUGGUGUAGCGGUGAAAUGCGCAGAUAUCAGGAGGAACACCGGUGGCGAAGGCGGGUCUCUGGGCCGAAACUGACGCUGAGGAGCGAAAGCGUGGGGAGCGAACAGG
rnacentral:rRNA from 1 species